AUAGUACAUUACCUAUUCCUACUUACCCCAUUGCCAUCACAGGUUCCUACCAUUUUUGCUUUUUUAAAAAAAUGUUUUUUUUUUCAGUUUUAUUGAGAUAUAUUUGGCAUACCCAAGCCUUUUUUUUUUUUUUUUUUUUUUUUUUUUUUUAAGUAAACUCUACAUCCAUUGUGGGGCUCGACCCAGGAUCCUGAGACUAAGAGUCACACGCUCCAUCAACUGAGCCAGGCCAGUGCCCUCAUUUUUGCUUCUUAAUCAUGGAGGAUUAGCUGAAAGAGUCAGAUGUGGAAGAAAGGAAUGAGGGGGGAGGUAUCUAGCUAUGAAUGGGUUAAAGUUUGUAUUCUCUCUAAUAUUGCCCUCAGGUAAACCUGACUAGUCCACUAGUUAAUCAAGCAAGAAAAUAUCUUCAAUAUCUUGAGCUAUUAAUAUUUGUGCUAUUCUUUUUCCCACUCCCUUUGCUCCUCCCUUAGGAAGAGGAUCCACAUUGUUUCAAGAAUAUGAGAGGUAUGGUAAGAAUGUAAAGGCCAAGGAACAAUCAAUAUGCCCCUUUUGAGGACUCAGCAGGGAAAAGCCAUGUCUUCACUGGCAAAAUCGCAGUACAAGACGACCCAUUCAGAUCCGCCCUCGACGUACAGCACAGCCUACUUACCAGCCUCAAAGGAACGCCAGGCAGUUAGUGAAAUGCAGAGCAUCAAGGGGCCUUCCAAGGAAGCCCAGUGAGACUUUUCAAUGAGCACAUGUGGUUGGAAAUCGGAUGUUGGGUUUAGAUCUUAUCCAGAAUAAGAAUCUCCAUGCUGGUGUGGAGCUGAUCUCACGACCCUGAGAUCAUGACUGGAGCCGAAAACAAGAGUGAGACACCCAUUCGACUGUGCCACCCAGGCACCCCUAAAGGUAACUAUUUUAUUUUUUCAAAAAAUAUUUUAUUUAUUUAUUCAUGAGAGACACAGAGAGAGAGGCAGAGACACAGGCAGAGGGAGGAGAAGCAGACUCCAUGCAGGAGCCUGAUGCGGAACUCGAUCCCAGAACUCCAGGAGGUCCUGAGCUAAAGGCAGACGCUCAACCACUGAGCCACCCAGGCAUCCCUAAAGGUA
rnacentral:lncRNA from 1 species